rnacentral:rRNA from 1 species
GACGAACGCUGGCGGCGUGCUUAACACAUGCAAGUCGAACGGUGAAGCGCCUUCCUUUUUGGUGGGUGUGGAUGAGUGGCGAACGGGUGAGUAACACGUGAGUAACCUGCCCCCUUCUUCUGGAUAACCGCAUGAAAGUGUGGCUAAUACGGGAUAUUCUGGGUCUGUCGCAUGAUGGGUCUGGGAAAGAUAUUGUUUCGGUGGGGGAUGGGCUCGCGGCCUAUCAGCUUGUUGGUGGGGUGAUGGCCUACCAAGGCGGUGACGGGUAGCCGGCCUGAGAGGGUGGACGGUCACACUGGGACUGAGACACGGCCCAGACUCCUACGGGGGGCAGCAGUGGGGAAUAUUGCACAAUGGGCGCAAGCCUGAUGCAGCGACGCCGCGUGAGGGAUGGAGGCCUUCGGGUUGUGAACCUCUUUCGCCAGUGAAGCAGGCCUGCCUCGUUUGUGGGUGGGUUGACGGUAGCUGGAGAAGAAGCGCCGGCUAACUACGUG